CUACGCUCACGUUAGAAGGAAAAUUUCUAAAUGGCGGGUUGCUGUGGAGGACUCGACCCCAGCCGGGCUCGGGAGGGACAAGGCCCGGCCUCCGGGAUUCCCUCACGGUAGGAGUGCACCGGGUACGCUGAGAGAUGUCCUGCACGCAAGGCUGACAUAGAAACAUCCUUUCACUGACGCCCCAUGCGUCCACUUUUGCCGCAGAGAUCUUAUGUUGAGAGACCUCGCGUUGUUGUAGAAACGAACUGAAAUAUAUAGCAAGACUUCUAGAAGUAAUCCAUGCAAAUCCAUCUAACAGUGUGUAUUCAUUAUAAAAAUUUGGUGAUCUGUCCACAUUUACCAGCGUGGAAAAAAUGUUCAUGUCGGUAGAAUAAUCAAUAAACAGGAGAAAAACCAUAGUCUGGUCUAAGAUGUUUCCUGAGCAGGUAAAUAAGCUAAAUCUGGUGGAUAAGUUACUUUUUCCCAAAUAAUUUGUUCAGCACUAAUUAGCUAUUAUAGCGUAACAUGCUACUGGGGAAAGUGAUGUAUCACUGUCACAAUCCCAUCCAGCUACAAAUAUAUAUAUGAAGAUAAACAUACAGGUAUGUGACCAGGUAAGACUUAGAUGCUGUAAACAUUUCACUUGUGUUUAACUUUUCCUGGGGAGUACAGACCAUUGAAAUCAAAAGGGCAGCACUAGUACCUAAAGCUAAGCUACCAAGUUUUACAGGUGUCACUGUGAGGUGCCACACAGCAGGACAAGUAUGAGAGCACAACACUGUGGACUGUUAUUACAAAAAAAAAAAAAUGCUGUGUAUCACAGGGAUAAAGUACUGUGAAAAAUAAAUCCUUACUAUAAAUAACGACUUAAUAUUAAAUAUUAAAAUAAUGUUUGCACUUCAGCAGAGAUUAAAGUCCAAGCCAAGUGCUAGGCCUCAGUGAGAAAGCAGCUAUGAAAUAUCCUUUGUUCAUUACACUUCAGAAAAAACUUAUUUAUGUAUCAGAAAAAGGAAGCAAUACAUAUUAGUCAGCUUAGAUACAUGCAUCCCAACUUUCUUUUAGAUUAUCCAAAUCUUAAGUGGAAACUACUGUCAUAAAGCAGUAUUUGUGUAUCAGGCAGGUUUGUGUGUCUGCCACACUGCUCAUGAAUUGGUUCCCUUUGGUUUUGUGACAGUCUGUGUCUCAAAGGUUUAUGACUUUCUGAGAGCUCUUUCUCUCUUUUCCAUUAAGCAUUCUUACCUAGCUGUGUUUCCAAGUCAAUUAUUUUCCAAAGGAAGCCUGGUCAGGGACAGCAACACCUUCUAAUGCUUGGAAACCUGGGGCCAUCCUAGCUCUGUGCAAAUGACCUUCUACUCAUUAAACCUUGGCUUAGUGGCCAGUGAACUGGGCAUAAGGUGGCUGCAUUCUUGCAGCAAGGAAGACUGGUGCUAUCCAGGCUGCCUAAAGAGCAGGCAGCACAAGCUGCAGACUGAGGGCAGGAUUUAUCAGACUCUGCUUGGCACUCACUUGACCUUAUCAGAAAUCUUGUAUUAAUUGUGGGACCUUUAUACAAGAUAUUGACAAACUGGACAAAGUUCACAGGGGGCCACUAAGAUGGUUGGUGAAAAUCUGCAAGCAGCAGCUGCAGGGCUGAUGCUUUUUGAGCCUGGAGCAGCUAACUUCAAGGGCAGUUAACUGCAUCCUCCAGUAUCCCAUAGGGAAGGGGUGGAAAAGAUGGAAGUGGUCUUACCACAGCAGACCAUAGCAGAAGAACAAGGCACAAAAGACAUCAACUGAAACAGGAAAUUCCUGAUGAAUAUUAGGAACAAUUUUUUUCCCCUGAAGGUACGUCGAGUCAGAGCAGGUUGCAGAGAGAGGUUGUGCAGUCCACCCUUGGAGAUUCUCAAGACAAUCUGACACAAUCUCACGUCUGACCCUCUGUCGCUAUAGGACACGAGAAAGCACAACGCGAGCCACCUGCUACUUUGCAAGGCCUGAAGAGUGAGGAGGUUAUGGACUUCAAGUAUCUGAUGAAAGAGAAAAGAGAUGAAAUAAAAUAUCCUGCAGCAGGUAGAAGAGUUGACUACUAGAUCCAAUGUCACCCUUGCUGUAAGGAUCAUAUGCUCAGAAGUGCCUGCUACAUACACCAUCAAAACCUUAAUAUUAAAAAAUAUAAUAUCCUGCAGUAAAAGCAUGUCUACAUAGACAUCUUGAACUAAGUAAUAAAAAAAGUAACUGAU